UACUUAAUUUUUGAGAACAUGUCUUAUGCAAUACUUCAGUGUUUUUCCUCUUGGUCUGUAAAUAAAGUGUAAACUGUGUUUGACAGAUAAAAGAAAACCUCAGAUUUCUGGGAAGGUGAUUGUUAAGGAAGGAGAAGUUCUGAAUCUGACCUGCAGUGUUGACAGUUUCCCUCCUGUUCCUGCUGUGUGGACUGGACCUCAGUCAAAGCUGCUCAAUGGAUCUGACCACAAUGGAUCAGCCACCUUCAUCAUCACUAAUGUGACAGCAGAGGAUUCUGGGCGCUACUCCUGUGCUGCAAAUCACCAGAACUGGACUGAUUGGGUUCACGUGGAUGUGACGGUGAUGCUGGAAGGAUCCGCAUGUGUGCGCCGCUCAGACGUCCUGACCUGCACCUGCAUCAGUCGAGGUGUUCCUUUAGCCAACAUAAAGUGGCCCCAGCUGAGCCUCCACACUGAGUACUGGCUCACCACCAAUGUGUCAGGUCAGACUGUGAGGAGCUCUUUGACUUUAAGAGCAACAAAACAGGACAACAUCUCUGCAGAAUGUGUCAUCAGCAAUGAGAGUGGAGAGUCAACACAAACACUCACAAUUCAAGACAUCCCCUCUGAAAAUGAAGGAGAUCAGUCUGGAAGUGUUUUUGGAAAAACAACCAAACCAGAAACCAUCAUCGCCUUUCUGAUCGGAGUUUUAGUAUCUGCAAUGUUUUGUAUUUUGAUUAUGAGUUGCUACAGGAAAAAGCUGAAGAGGACUGAGAAUCUGCAGGGAAAUUUGGAGAUGGUUGGUAUUCUGGAGAAUCCUCUGGUAUGUUCUCGUUGAUCUUAAACUCAAUUUUCUUCUAAAGAACACAACAUAUUUUUUUUAUAAUACUUGUGUUUUUUGUCAGUGGUCAAAGAGUUUGAAAUUGAUCCUCAAUACCAGAACAUAUUUCUGAAGUUAAAUUUAGAAGGAGCACUUUUGAAGAACAACAAGCUCAAGUGUUGUCUUUCACAGAUCCAUGAUGGUCUCUCAAUAACAGAGGAUCAAAGCCUCGUCUCAGAAGGAGCUGAGAAUGGAUCUGUGACAACAGGAGCUCCUAAACCCAGAAGUGGGUCUGGAGAUGUGGAGUACGCCAACAUCGAUUUCUCUCGGCUGAAGAGGAAAGAGAGAACACAGGAGCUGCAGACAGCAGCUACAGAAUAUGCUGAAGUUAAAGUGAAAAGGAGGAGAAACAUGCUGCUGUAGAGGAGGAACCGAUGAUGGAGGAGGAUGACAAAACUCUUCUGUGUGUGUCAAAAAACACAGACGGAGAGGAAGAGGAGGUGUACUCCUCAGUAAAUGAUUUAAUAGGUCAAAACUGAGGGCAGGCUGUGAGGUUGUAUAAUGUAUAAACAUAUAAUCUAUUGCCCUCGCCUCAAUGGUUUAAAUUCCAGCCGGGAUUUUCAUAUCUGGAAUUUGCAUUUUUUCUCUGAGCACUUCAGCUUCUCUCUGAUGUCUAACAACUUGCUUUAUAGGUUCAUUGCUUACUGUAAAGUUUCCUCAGGUGUGAAUGUGUGAUUGUGUGCCCGUCAACAGACCGGCGACCUUUCCAAGGUGUACUCCACCUUUGCCCAACAAUAGCUUUGACAGACUCCAGCAACCUAGUCACCCUAAAAUAGAUUAAACAGGUUCUAAAGAUGGAUGGGUGGAUGGAUGGACGGAUGGCUGGCGUCUGUCAUCUGCAGUCAGCUUAUUUGCAGAUGACUAUGCUCUAUUUUUUGCAGACAAAAUUUUGAAAUAUGUGUAAAAAAUCAUUUUUUUAAAAUAAUAUCUAUAUAAUUGUGAUAUUUAAAAGUUUUUAAUUAAAAACUGUAUAUAUAUCAGGGAAGAAGAUGUAGAAUACCAAGUUAGUUUACAGGGAGGCAUGUUACUAUUGUGCUUUUUUAAAGGAGCAGAAAAAGUAAAAAGAAAAAAAAAAACAUAUUUACUGGAGCAGAGUCAUCCAAUCAAAGUAAAAUACAAGUAAAAAACUUUACAUUUAUUUGACUAUUAAAAAACUAAUUUGUGAUUCUUGCUGUCAUGUUUUCUUGCAGUCAUGUUUCUCCCAAAUUACAAAAAACAAACUUUAUUGUUUGUUGUUAGUUUUACUUGACAUCAAUCCUCAACUAAAUGUAAACUUCUCUGUGGUGCAUCUGUAUCUUUAUAAAAAUCCUGCUCUACUUCUGCAGGUAUUAUGAUAUAAGUUACAGAAACAGCUAUGUCCAAAUUCCUCCACAGCUUACUACUUAGUGCACUAUAUAGGGCGUUUACCAAUUUGUGGCGCUGUCCGAAUCUAUAGUUCAAAAAUCGAGCGCUCCAGAAAUUUCCCAGAAGACUCUGCGGCAAACAGUAGUGUGUCGAUGCUCAGUAGACUGGUACUUAUGUAGUGCACUGUGUAGUUAGUAAUGAAGGGAUUUGGAAAUAGAAAGUGGAUUCAUAAAUUGUCGUUUUAAAAGGGUUGUACUGAUUAGUUUCAUUUGUGAAAUCGGUGAUGUUAUACUUGCUAUUUAAAAAAAAAGACGCAAAGGCUAGAUACGUUGCUGUGGCGCCCUCUACUGGGAGCAGUCGUAGGAAAAGGAAAAAUAAUUAGAAAUCAGGGAGAAGUGAGUCAAUGAUGUCAUAAAGUUUUGAUAGUUGGUUAAUUUUAAAAUGUUAAUGUGGUACAUAAAUUUAUAUACCUCUGCAUUUGGUAGCAUUUAUGUAUCAUUACAUCAUUUAUUGUUCAUUAAGUUUUACUUUUUGGAAAUUAAAUAUUAAAGUCUUUCAGUUGUCUUUUUUUUAAAAUAAAUGCAACCAAUGAUAUGUAUUUCUGGAUUAGAAAUCACAUGACAUGCGGCGUGACGGACAUCAUCAUGAGUCUUCUUGAGUAAUGAAUAGUGGAGGUCUAAAAAAGUAUGAAAAGAAGCACAAAACAAGACGCAGGGUUUGGAAUAGACUUCAAAAACCUUGACAACAAAAUUAUCCAAUGGAGAGGAAUCAUCACAGGACAGGAAUUAGACAGGAGAAAUUAGGCUGGGAACCGUGAACUGUGUGCUGAAGUGGGUCCUAGCAACUCAAUGUUUUUAUUAAUGUUUCAGGUUCUAAAACAUAGCGGAUGUUAUAAAUGCACAUAUUUAUGUUCAACCUGCACAAAAACUGAUGGAAAUUCAUGUUUGAAGCACAUAAAAUGUGCAGUCAAGAUGCACGUUGCUGCAUUGUUUUGCUAGCUCGUGGCUAGCCACUUUAUGAGCCUAAAUCUGGUUAUCGGUCGCACUUUUUUUUUGUCAGAAGUGUAAGUGAUUUCACAAUAGUUUUCUUCAUCUGUGCCGUCACUGUUGAGCUUUUUUUUUUGGUCGCACAGAUGUUAUGGAAGGAGCUGUGGCCCAAAACUUUAACAUGCUACACAAUUUCCUGCUAUUAUCACUGUGUUUUGAAUCUUAACAAUUUGGCAGGUGUAUUUGAUGUCAUGAUCCAAUUAUAAAAAAAAUGUUUUUUGUAUCUGAUAAAGAUGCUAGCUGGAGCCUUUUUCUCAAAGUACUAUACAAUUGUCUAUUUGAAGAUAAAUUCUGAAUGCAAUUGAGAUUUAUUUACCAUGCAUAUAAUCCAAAAAUAAUACAAGUUUUAGUUUAAUUUGACAAUGUGAUAGUGUUUUUAUGAUUAUUUUUUUUUAGCACUUCGAGAUUUUUUUAAUAGGGUGUUAUUAUAUGAAUGCUUAUAGCUGUACAUAUCUAAUGGCCAGUAGGAGGCGCUGUUUUGUUUUGUAUGUGGGUUUCCCAGUUUACU
ensembl:lncRNA